GAUGAACGCUGGCGGCGUGCCUAAUACAUGCAAGUCGAGCGAACAGACGAGGAGCUUGCUCCUCUGACGUUAGCGGCGGACGGGUGAGUAACACGUGGAUAACCUACCUAUAAGACUGGGAUAACUUCGGGAAACCGGAGCUAAUACCGGAUAAUAUAUUGAACCGCAUGGUUCAAUAGUGAAAGACGGUUUUGCUGUCACUUAUAGAUGGAUCCGCGCCGCAUUAGCUAGUUGGUAAGGUAACGGCUUACCAAGGCAACGAUGCGUAGCCGACCUGAGAGGGUGAUAGGCCACACUGGAACUGAGACACGGUCCAGACUCCGACGGGAGGCAGCAGUAGGGAAUCUUACGCAAUGGGCGAAAGCCUGACGGAGCAACGCCGCGUGAGUGAUGAAGGUCUUCGGAUCGUAAAACUCUGUUAUUAGGGAAGAACAAAUGUGUAAGUAACUAUGCACGUCUUGACGGUACCUAAUCAGAAAGCAACGGCUAACUACGUG
rnacentral:rRNA from 1 species